GGAGAUCCAGGGGUUUUUGGUUCCCAUCAGAAAGUAUGGCUAUCAGAAGAAUCAAGAUGAAUGAGCGUCCAGACCAUUGAAGGGAAAGAAGUCUGGCUGAUGAAAAUGAGCUCUGCACUGAAUCCAGGCCAUGUUUUGAGGUUUCCAUUGUUUUUGGCUCAGCCUAGAAAUUGGAUUAUUGCUCUUCAUACCACUGGAGGCCUGCAGCCCAACCUCUGACCCAAGCUAUCACAGAAAACAGGGAAACACAAACUGAAAAUUAUAACAAUGCUCUUCAAGCUCAACAGAGAGAUAGUCAGACACGUAAUCACCACGGAGAGAUUACAGUUUUCUAGUCUACACUUUUGAAGGGAAAGAGACUGCAAAAAAAAAAAAAAAAAAAAAAAGAGAGAGAGAGCAUUAACCUUUAUCAGCUUUCAGCAUUUCAUGCUUUCAAUUUAGAACUGGAUGCUAUUGGCUCUGGAAGGCCAUAGAAGAUGUGGGAAGAGCAUGCACUGUUGCUUCCAUUAUUUUGUAGUGAGAAGGAUGGCUUUGGCGAGACUCUAAACGCUCUUCCUUUAAAAAUCUUAACCUCUGCCUCACUGAUCAGAAGGCUUUGUGGAGACCCAGCAAAGCCUGAUACUCUGUGACAGAAACCAUGCCCACUAUUGAUGCUCAUCUCUGUCAUCUUAAUGGCCUCUAGCAAGAAAGUCUUUAGGCAAGCUAGUGCUUGAAGCUUACCUAAAAUAUAAAGGUAUCCCUGGUGGGGAAAAACUAUGAAGUUUUGCCAAAAAAAAAAAAAAA
rnacentral:lncRNA from 1 species